rnacentral:rRNA from 1 species
GACGUAGGGCGCGAGCGUUGUCCGGAUUUAUUGGGCGUAAAGAGCUCGUAGGCGGCUUGUCGCGUCGACUGUGAAAUCCCGCGGCUCAACUGCGGGUCUGCAGCCGAUACGGGCAGGCUAGAGUUCGGUAGGGGAGACUGGAAUUCCUGGUGUAGCGGUGAAAUGCGCAGAUAUCAGGAGGAACACCGGGUGGCGAAGGCGGGUCUCUGGGACGUUACUGACGCUGAGACGCGAAAGCGUGGGGGAGCAAACAGG